UACGAAGGGGGCUAGCGUUGCUCGGAAUCACUGGGCGUAAAGCGCACGUAGGCGGCUUACUAAGUCAGGGGUGAAAUCCUGGAGCUCAACUCCAGAACUGCCUUUGAUACUGGUGAGCUUGAGUUCGGGAGAGGUGAGUGGAACUGCGAGUGUAGAGGUGAAAUUCGUAGAUAUUCGCAAGAACACCAGUGGCGAAGGCGGCUCACUGGCCCGAUACUGACGCUGAGGCACGAAAGCGUGGGGAGCAAACAGG
rnacentral:rRNA from 1 species